AAAACUUCUAUGCUGAAGAAGGAAUUUGGCUUAGGCCACCUCUCCGUCCGCCUCUCCCUCUUCCUUGUUGGUAACUUUCACCACCUCGUCCUCCACGACCUCCAUUAAAAUCACUUCUACCAUAUCCUCUACCUGCACCACUAAAGUUUCCGCGGCCCCUGAAAUUUUCAUUUCGGUACCCUGCUCCUCUUCCGGUAGGGAAACGACCUCUCCCGCUACUAACUCUACUUGUAGUUCGCUUUAUUUCAACCUCAGCUUGAAGACCUCCAAUUGUAACAGGUGAGGCCUGUAUCGCGCUGUUCAUGGAGUUCAAAUCUUCAAAUUCAACAAACCCGAAGCAGAAUCCUUGUUGCCUAUUACUUCUAACUUGUAUGCCUCCUUGCAUAAUGGGUCCAAAUCUCUUAAAUUCAACCUCAAGUUGA
rnacentral:misc_RNA from 1 species